GCUGACUCUAUACAUCAGAGACACGACCCUUUAAUUUCUUCAUCUGAAACCCUGACAGUAUACUAAUAUAAUAGUGGAAUUUAUGUUGUUGCUUUUGUCACACAGAUUUUUCAUUCAACUGGUAAUCCGAUGUCUGGCUAACUCAGCUUGAUACCUAUAUGUUCUGCUAGAUAAUGUUGUUUUUCUCUCUAAAAUGAGCAGUAACAAACCAU